rnacentral:tRNA from 1 species
GGGCCGGUCGUCUAGUCUGGUAGGAUGCCUCCUUGGCAUGGAGGUGAUCGAGGGUUCAAAUCCCUCCCGGUCCA